UCUUCUAAAAUUCUCGCAACGCUUACUGAAGAUUUUCGCGGUGAUUCUCUAUUGACGAUCCGACGUCGUUUCUGAUUCCUGUCAAUCGAAUUGGCGAGUUAGGGUUUCUUGACCAUUUCUCUGAUCUCCAUGGCAAAAUCUGGCAAAUCAAACUGUUCCGAUCGCCGGAACAAAUACCUGAAGCCCAAUCUGGGUGGUGGCCGGAAAUCGGGUGCUGGGAAAUUGGCUACUCAACUCCAUGGUUUGGCGCUGGGAGACAAAACCCCUCCCUCGCCGCCUAAGUCACCAAAGAGCCCGAUCCCUAACCCUGCAUCACCUCCUACUCCUGAUGCACCCAUGAGGCUCGUUCGCCGGCCACCGUCUCGCCUCCGUGGCGCGGAUUUGCGACAGGCUUUUGAUUGAUGAGUGUAAACCAUUCCGCUGUUGGUUGAGCUAGUUUACUAUCUGUUAUAUAUCGAUCAUCUUUUUUAAAGUAUGGAGUGCAUGCUUAAAAGUUCAGGCUUCUCUCCAACCUAUAGGUGAGUUCUGUUUCUCUUUUCGUAUUACUUCUAGACAUUGUAUAUAGCUGAAAUUCACUACUAUUCUGCAUUUUUGUCCCAUGGUAAUGCUUUGUUCCCUCUUAAUAUUAAAGGAAUUGCUGAUACAAGAUUCUUUUGGGUAAUGCUUUCAUGUUUAAGCCUAGGACAUUAUGCAGAUAAGGUUGUGGUUACUAUGAAGCCAGUAAUGCUGUGAAUGCAAAACUUGCUAGAAAUGUUGUGCAGCUUAGUACUUCUGGUGUAUCACGGCAUGACUAGUGUUUCAUUGGAGGGGAUUCUCUGCCAUGCUUGAAGUGGGUCAAGUGAUGGAGGCACAGCUUUGGGGCCUUCUAAAAGGAUUGGGUUAUUGAAGUAGGAUUUUGCUACAUGGAACCGAACAAGCUUGUAGACAAAGUGGGCGACUGGAAUGAUAGUUAGAAGUGGUCUCUUAGAUUUUAGUGACUUUAAGGUUAAUUAGUCGUAGUGAUUUUGUAGCUAGUUA